ensembl:snRNA U6 U6 spliceosomal RNA
GUACUUGCUUCAGCAGCACAUAUACUAAAAAUUGGAAUGAUACAGAGAAGAUUAGCAUGGCCCUGGCAAGGAUGACAUGCAAACACAUGUGUUUCAUGUGUUUUUU